UUCUUAUUCAGGAGUAAUAAAAGACGGUCUUUUGCACACGUGUUGACCUUUGGGUGUUCAUCUCUUUGAGAAGAGAGAGAGAGAGUUGAAGCAAUCUCAUCGAUGUUCAUCUUUGCGUUUCUUGUAGGAUCCUGAAUCAAUUGAAGAUCAAAUCCUUGUGUUAUUUUCUUGUUGUCUGGUUGAUAUGAAUGAGACCGGUGGUUCAAGGAAGUGCUCUCCCCCAUCCCUUUGCAGCAUAAGAUCGCCAUGCUCCAAUUCUUCCCAAGCUCUCAUAGAACAGAGAGGAUCAUUAGAAGCAUAGACAAGAGGAUCUCCGACGCUCCCUUCACAGAUGCUUCUCCCCCAAUUCCAGAAUCAAAGGUGAGGAAGCACACGAUCUCGGUGUUCAUUAGAGACGAGAACGGGAUGAUUAAUAGGAUUGCAGGAGUCUUUGCGAGGAGAGGAUACAAUGUCGAGUCUCUUGUGUUUGGUCUCAACAGAAACAAGGCUUUGUUCACCUUUGUUCACCAUUGUUGUCUCUGAAACUGAAAGACAUGGACUUCAAACCUGCGAAGUAAACUUUAAUACCAUUUUACAGAGUUUCUAAUUAUUGUAUCAUGGGGGAGCAGUGUUGUUUGCCAAGGAGAGAGAGAGUCCAUAGAAAUUUAAGUUCCAGCGAUAGCUUGUGUGGAUGAUCCAUAAAGAUUCAAAGCAAGAAGAAAGUGAAAAAGAAUAUAAAAAGAGAAGCAGAGUCUUGUACACUAGAUCCAUCUUGUUAUGUGGCUAAUGGCACGCCUUCAAGCCUGCGAUAUGACAUGCUGUAUAUUUCAAAGAGUUUUGCAAGGGCUAAUGGUUUAGAGACAAGAUGUGGAGAGAUUGUUCUGAUGAAUGAAAAGGGUACUUCAUGGAUUUUGAAUUUUUUUUCAAGAACUUAUAAUUAAGAGACUUGCAAUAAAGCACAUGAAUGUUCAAAUC